rnacentral:rRNA from 1 species
AGCGAACAAGUGCAUGUGGUGGAUGCCUUGGCGAUCACAGGCGAUGAAGGACGCGGUAGCCUGCGAAAAGCUACGGGGAGCUGGCAAACAAGCUUUGAUCCGUAGAUGUCCGAAUGGGGAAACCCACUCCUUUUGGAGUAUCCAUGGCUGAAUACAUAGGCCAUGCGAAGCGAACGCGGUGAACUGAAACAUCUAAGUAACCGCAGGAAAAGAAAUCAACCGAGAUUCCCAAAGUAGUGGCGAGCGAAAUGGGAUGAGCCUUGUACUCUUUAUUUGUAUUGUUAGCCGAACGCUCUGGAAAGUGCGGCCAUAGCGGGUGAUAGCCCCGUAGGCGAAAACAGUAUGAAAGAACUAGGUGUACGACAAGUAGGGCGGGACACGUGAAAUCCUGUCUGAAGAUGGGGGGACCAUCCUCCAAGGCUAAAUACUCGUGAUCGACCGAUAGUGAACCAGUA